UGCUGGAGGCAGCGGUUGAUCGAUCUCUUUGUGGGAAUUUUUGAAAAACAAAAUUAAAAGCAUGAACAGAUCGAUAAACCUGUGCAUCCAGC
rnacentral:pre_miRNA from 14 species